rnacentral:rRNA from 1 species
UUUGUCUUUUCAUAGGAGGCUGGGAUGAAAGAGUUGACAAUACUUAAGCUUUUAAAUUUAACUUAGAAAUUGAUAUCUAUGUCAAAAAGCGUAGCUUUUUAGAAAGACGAUAAGACCCUAUAAAACUUGUAUCGCUAAGCUUAAAGAAUGUUUGGACAGGUUUGGGGGUGAGGUGAUUGUGCUGGGGCGGCAUUUAAAAUUCAUUAGAGAAGGAAACACUUAUGUGUGAAUUUACAGAUCUUGAGGGAAUAGAAUAAGUUACUUUAGGGAUAACAGCGUAAUUUUUUAUCACUAUUUUUAGAGUCAUAAAAAGACUUACGACCUCGAUGUUGAAUUGAGGGGCCGAAUAUCAUAAGUGAAUUGCGGGGGUCUGUUCGACCUUUAAUACCUC